UUUCAGUAACACUGGUUCAGUGGACCCGGAGUGAGCUCCGUCCACUGACGGCAUUCGCGAUUGCAAGCUCUCGGGCUCCCCAUCACUGAUUCUGCUCCCGGCUGGCUCGCCCCCUACAACGAUGACCUCCGAAAUGGUGGCGAGGAAUCGGUCGUGUUCAGCACCCAGGCCCUCUGCGCUUGACCCGUAGUCCGCCUGCCCCCCACGAAUGCCGAGGAGGCAGCGGCAGACCCGCUCCGACAUCUCCCCCCUACGGACGUGUGCCUUUCGGAGUUUUCUGCCCUCCGCUCUGGCGCCUUCAGAAUGACUGGCUCGGCACAUUUACCUUUGUGACACUGGAGGGUCUCAGUUCCUAUUCUAUAAAACAUUGUUCUAAAUCUGCAAAAUCAUACUUUAUGUCCUGCAUAUUAUAUGUGGGGGACUGGCUGUCCCCCCUCGUGACAGUCAUAAGAUGAUAAAACUUAAAGAGUUGAAAUGGCCCAUUGAGAAGCGGGAGACGGAAACUGAAAUUAGGGAAGGGGGUGAGGCUGGAAAGAGGAGUCAUCUAAAUGAUGCUAGACCCGUGAGAGACCAGCAGGAAUGGCCUAAAAACAACACAGAUCUGAAGUCACUAGUGACACGUUAGAGCUGCUCUCUUCCGUGUCAAUAGGGACUUCAGACCUGUGUUGUUUUUAGGGGUUGUGCAUCUGGAGGCAUGGAAAGAGUACUAGGUUGGGAAUCGGGACAAUUAGAUGGACAGGACAACACAAACCGAAGGAACCCAGAUUGUUUAAAAAUGAGAAGUGAAGACUUAAGGGAACUAUGAUCAACGUCUUGAGGCAUUUGAAGAGGUUAUAUAUAGCUUUGUUUCGUCAGGUUGCAAAGAACAGAAGUAGGAGCAAUGAGAGUAGAAAUUGCAAGGAAGGAUAAUAAAAGGAAGAGCUUGCUGACAGGGAUCGCUUCACCUAUCAGGGCUGUUGAAAAAGGAAUUUUUGUUCAGUUGCCGGUUAGACUAGAUGAUCUCUUUGUUUCCUCUCAACUCUUGGAUUCCACGCUUUGAGUAACAUCUCUAUUAACUCAAGACUGAGCACCUUGGGUGCGGACUCUCUUCUCUGGGCCUCAGUUUCCACUCAUCUCCAUACAACUAGAAGUUUCCAACAUUAAUAUUCAAUGAGCUAUGAGGAAGAAAGUACCAGAUGUCACAUGCCCCACUCCAUCCCACUUCCAGGAUACAGCCUAUUAAGGAUAAUUAGAGAGGUUGGGAAGAUCCACUUUACCUCUCUAGGCCUCUUUUUUGGUGAAUUUCAUGAGACUGAAUUGUUUAGGAGUUGAAUUAGGGGUGAUAUUGCCCAAAGGUAGAGAGAUGGUCUCAAAGGCCUCCAAGGUUGCAGAUAGCCUAAAGUGCUGAUAUUAGAAGCCUAACAGAGGAGACUUCUUUCUCCCCAAAAUUCAGCUAUCUGUUCCAACUUUGAUCUGGAGACAGCUAACAGACCAAGCCAGAGAUAAGGUUUCUUAAGCAACUUUCUCUUUAAUUCCUCUUGGGAAGUGGAAGCCCCUGAGCUGUUACCCCCCCCCCCCUCCCACCCUUAUGUGGCCCCUUGUCCCUGCACCACUCCCUCAGAUCCUCACUAUUUCUGGGACAGAGAUAAGGAAAAAAGAGGGCCCACUGCUUUUGGAUGGUGAAUUUUUAAAAACCAAGUCAUCUGAGAAAUGAGACUGGGGAGAAGGUAGGGGAAAGAUGCAGAGG